rnacentral:rRNA from 1 species
UACAGAGGUCUCAAGCGUUGUUCGGAUUCAUUGGGCGUAAAGGGUGCGUAGGUGGCGUGGUAAGUCGGGUGUGAAAUUUCGGAGCUUAACUCCGAAACUGCAUUCGAUACUGCUGUGCUUGAGGACUGGAGAGGAGACUGGAAUUUACGGUGUAGCAGUGAAAUGCGUAGAUAUCGAGAGGAACACCUGCGGCGAAGGCGGGUUGCUGGGCUGACACUGACGCUGAGGCGCGAAAGCUAGGGGAGCGAACGGG